rnacentral:tRNA from 1 species
UCCCUGGCAGUCCAGUGGUUAGGACCCUUCACUCUGACCACCACAGACGCAGGUUCAAUCCCUGCUCAGGGGA